AUUAACGCUAGCGGCAGGCAUAAUACAUGCAAGUUGAACGGCAGCACAGGUAGCAAUACCGGGUGGCGAGUGGCGCACGGGUGCGUAACACGUAUGCAACCUACCCUAUACAGGCGAAUAACCUUAGAAAUGAGGGCUAAUACGCCGUGGUAUUAUCUUGGGGCAUCUUGAGAUAAUUAAAGAUUUAUCGGUAUAGGAUGGGCAUGCGUCCCAUUAGUUAGUUGGUAGGGUAACGGCCUACCAAGGCUAUGAUGGGUAGGGG
rnacentral:rRNA from 1 species